ACCUGCGCUUCCCCCGCUCCCUGAGUCCUGAGGCCAGGGGGCUACUGAGUGGGCUACUGAAAAAAGAUCCCAAAGAGAGGUUGGGCGGUGGCCCCGGUGACGCGCGCGAGGUGAUGCAGCAUCGAUUCUUCGCCGCCAUCGAUUGGAGCGAGGUGCUGCAGAGGAAGUUGGUGCCCCCGUUCCGGCCGCAGGUGACGUCCGAGGUGGACACGCGGUAUUUCGAUGAGGAGUUCACAGCGCAGAGCAUCACGGUGACACCGCCUGAGGAGUGUGAGUGACAUUGUCACCUGUGUGUCACCUGU